AUUGAACGCUGGCGGCAGGCCUAACACAUGCAAGUCGAGCGGGGGUAGCAAUACCCUAGCGGCGAACGGGUGAGUAAUGCCUAGGAAUCUGCCUCGUAGUGGGGGACAACGUUUCGAAAGGAACGCUAAUACCGCAUACGUCCUACGGGAGAAAGUGGGGGAUCCUCGGACCUCACGCUAUGAGAUGAGCCUAGGUACGAUUAGCUAGUUGGUGGGGUAAAGGCUCACCAAGGCGACGAUCGUUAACUGGUCUGAGAGGAUGAUCAGUCACACUGGAACUGAGACACGGUCCAGACUCCUACGGGAGGCAGCAGUGGGGAAUAUUGGACAAUGGGGGAAACCCUGAUCCAGCCAUGCCGCGUGUGUGAAGAAGGCCUUCGGGUUGUAAAGCACUUUAAGCAGGGAGGAAGGUUUGCUGGUUAAUACCUGGCAAAAUUGACGUUACCUGCAGAAUAAACACCGGCUAACUCUGUGCCAGCAGCCGCAGUAA
rnacentral:rRNA from 1 species